CCUACGGGAGGCAGCAGUGGGGAAUAUUGGACAAUGGGCGAAAGCCUGAUCCAGCCAUGCCGCGUGUGUGAAGAAGGCCUUCGGGUUGUAAAGCACUUUCAGUGGGGAAGAAAGCCUUGGGGCUAAUACCCUCGAGGAAGGACAUCACCCACAGAAGAAGCACCGGCUAACUCCGUGCCAGCAGCCGCGGUAAUACGGAGGGUGCGAGCGUUAAUCGGAAUUACUGGGCGUAAAGCGCGCGUAGGCGGUCUGAUAAGCCGGUUGUGAAAGCCCCGGGCUCAACCUGGGAACGGCAUCCGGAACUGUCAGGCUAGAGUGCAGGAGGGGAAGGUAGAAUUCCCGGUGUAGCGGUGAAAUGCGUAGAGAUCGGGAGGAAUACCAGUGGCGAAGGCGGCCUUCUGGACUGACACUGACGCUGAGGUGCGAAAGCGUGGGUAGCAAACAGGAUUAGAUACCCGGGUAGUC
rnacentral:rRNA from 1 species